rnacentral:rRNA from 1 species
CAGCGCAGUGUAGCAAUACAUGGGCGGCGACCGGCAAACGGGUGCGGAACACGUACGCAACCUUCCUUUAACUGGAGAAUAGCCCGGGGAAACCCGGAUUAAUACUCCGUAACAUUAUGAAGUGGCAUCACUUUAUAAUUAUAGCUCAGGCGGUUAAAGAUGGGCGUGCGUCUGAUUAGGUAGUUGACGGGGUAACGGCCCACCAAGCCUACGAUCAGUAACUGGUGUGAGAGCACGACCAGUCACACGGGCACUGAGACACGGGCCCGACUCCUACGGGAGGCAGCAGUAAGGAAUAUUGGUCAAUGGACGCAAGUCUGAACCAGCCAUGCCGCGUGGAGGAUGAAGGUCCUCUGGAUUGUAAACUUCUUUUAUCUGGGAAGAAACCACCGAUUUCUAUUGGUGUUGACGGUACCAGAUGAAUAAGCACCGGCUAACUCCGUGCCAGCAGCCGCGGUAAUACGGAGGGUGCAAGCGUUAUCCGGAUUCACUGGGUUUAAAGGGUGCGUAGGUGGGCAGGUAAGUCAGUGGUGAAAUCUCCGGGCUUAACCCGGAAACUGCCGUUGAUACUAUCUGUCUUGAAUAUCGUGGAGAUGAGCGGAAUACGUCAUGUAGCGGUGAAAUGCUUAGAUAUGACGUAGAACACCGAUUGCGAAGGCAGCUCGUUACACGGUUAUUGACACUGAGGCACGAAAGCGUGGGGAUCAAACAGGAUUAGAUACCCUGGUAGUCCACGCCCUAAACGAUGAUUACUCGACAUCAGCGAUACACUGUUGGUGUCUGAGCGAAAGCA